CCUACGGGAGGCAGCAGUGGGGAAUUUUGGACAAUGGGCGCAAGCCUGAUCCAGCAAUGCCGCGUGAGUGAAGAAGGCCUUCGGGUUGUAAAGCUCUUUUGUCAGGGAAGAAACGGUGUGGGCUAAUAUCCCGCACUAAUGACGGUACCUGAAGAAUAAGCACCGGCUAACUACGUGCCAGCAGCCGCGGUAAUACGUAGGGUGCAAGCGUUAAUCGGAAUUACUGGGCGUAAAGCGUGCGCAGGCGGUUUUGUAAGUUUGUCGUGAAAUCCCCGGGCUCAACCUGGGAAUGGCGAUGAAGACUGCAAGGCUAGAAUCUGGCAGAGGGGGGUAGAAUUCCACGUGUAGCAGUGAAAUGCGUAGAGAUGUGGAGGAACACCGAUGGCGAAGGCAGCCCCCUGGGUCAAGAUUGACGCUCAUGCACGAAAGCGUGGGGAGCAAACAGGAUUAGAUACCCUGGUAGUCCACGCCCUAAACGAUGUCUACUAGUUGUCGGGUUUUAAUUAACUUGGUAACGCAGCUAACGCGUGAAGUAGACCGCCUGGGGAGUACGGUCGCAAGNUUAAAACGUUAAAGAGUAGUACGACGNGAGAGACGCGACGACGACGACGAGGAGGAGGAG
rnacentral:rRNA from 1 species